CAGCAGCCGCGGGAAUACAGAGGGUGCGAGCGUUAAUCGGAUUUACUGGGCGUAAAGCGUGCGUAGGCGGCUUUUUAAGUCGGAUGUGAAAUCCCUGAGCUUAACUUAGGAAUUGCAUUCGAUACUGGGAAGCUAGAGUAUGGGAGAGGAUGGUAGAAUUCCAGGUGUAGCGGUGAAAUGCGUAGAGAUCUGGAGGAAUACCGAUGGCGAAGGCAGCCAUCUGGCCUAAUACUGACGCUGAGGUACGAAAGCAUGGGGAGCAAACAGGAUUAGAUACCCGGGUAGUCCCUGUCUCUUAUAC
rnacentral:rRNA from 1 species